GGGUUGUGAGGUUAAGCGACUAAGCGUACACGGUGGAUGCCCUGGCAGUCAGAGGCGAUGAAGGACGUGCUAAUCUGCGAUAAGCGUCGGUAAGGUGAUAUGAACCGUUAUAACCGGCGAUUUCCGAAUGGGGAAACCCAGUGUGUUUCGACACACUAUCAUUAACUGAAUCCAUAGGUUAAUGAGGCGAACCGGGGGGACUGAAACAUCUAAGUACCCCGAGGAAAAGAAAUCAACCGAGAUUCCCCCAGUAGCGGCGAGCGAACGGGGAGCAGCCCAGAGCCUGAAUCAGUGUGUGUGUUAGUGGAAGCGUCUGGAAAGGCGCGCGAUACAGGGUGACAGCCCCGUACACAAAAAUGCACAUGCUGUGAGCUCGAUGAGUAGGGCGGGACACGUGGUAUCCUGUCUGAAUAUGGGGGGACCAUCCUCCAAGGCUAAAUACUCCUGACUGACCGAUAGUGAACCAGUACCGUGAGGGAAAGGCGAAAAGAACCCCGGCGAGGGGAGUGAAAAAGAACCUGAAACCGUGUACGUACAAGCAGUGGGAGCACGCUUAGGCGUGUGACUGCGUACCUUUUGUAUAAUGGGUCAGCGACUUAUAUUCUGUAGCAAGGUUAACCGAAUAGGGGAGCCGAAGGGAAACCGAGUCUUAACUGGGCGUUAAGUUGCAGGGUAUAGACCCGAAACCCGGUGAUCUAGCCAUGGGCAGGUUGAAGGUUGGGUAACACUAACUGGAGGACCGAACCGACUAAUGUUGAAAAAUUAGCGGAUGACUUGUGGCUGGGGGUGAAAGGCCAAUCAAACCGGGAGAUAGCUGGUUCUCCCCGAAAGCUAUUUAGGUAGCGCCUCGUGAAUUCAUCUCCGGGGGUAGAGCACUGUUUCGGCAAGGGGGUCAUCCCGACUUACCAACCCGAUGCAAACUGCGAAUACCGGAGAAUGUUAUCACGGGAGACACACGGCGGGUGCUAACGUCCGUCGUGAAGAGGGAAACAACCCAGACCGCCAGCUAAGGUCCCAAAGUCAUGGUUAAGUGGGAAACGAUGUGGGAAGGCCCAGACAGCCAGGAUGUUGGCUUAGAAGCAGCCAUCAUUUAAAGAAAGCGUAAUAGCUCACUGGUCGAGUCGGCCUGCGCGGAAGAUGUAACGGGGCUAAACCAUG
rnacentral:rRNA from 1 species